UCUCGCGCCUCCUGAUGCCUCUCCACUCCUCCUGCGCGACAGCCUCGUCCUCGGCUUCCUCCUGCCGAGAUGGACAGCAACUUCAGCGUCACGGGAUGGUGCAGACCCCCACGACCGCGGACUGGUUGAUAAGACUCAUGAUGGUGCCAGUAAGCUAGUUUCAAAAUGGAAACCUUGUUAUACUGUCGGUGGGCAGCUUCUCAUCUUUUCCCAGUCUGCCCCUGGAUAUGCAGAGAUGACCCAAGGAGCCAUGACCUUUCAGUAGGUUGUAGAGCUGGAAGACCUGAGAAGACUGCUUCUGAAUCUAUCUUAAUCUUUUCCUGGAAGUGUAAAUGCUGUAAGAUCAAUCUGUCUCCCUCCCCUCCCUGUUACUAUGUGUUUAGCCACCGUGUUCAGUGCAUGUGUGGAGUUCAGGCAUAUUAUGUCUUUAAAUCACUUGUGCAUACACUAUCUUAGUUUUGUUCUUUUCCAAAAAGUUUGUGUAUAGGUGGUUGACUGACCAUUUCCAAAUAUUGACACCCAUUGCGUUUGCCCGAACCUUUCAUUUUUAGCUAUGCCAGGAUGCAAGCUUAUGUUUCACCAUGUAAAUUUGUGGGCCUGUUUCUAGCCAUGGUUGAUUACUACCUACACGGUGUCACCCACUGAUUCUUCUUCUGUCCAACCAAACACUUGACAUGUGCUUCGUUGUUUGCAUAGUGUUCCUGAAAUAAGCUUACCCAAUUGAUUUUGCCCUGUACUGAACAAACAUUUCAUGUAUGAUGCUUGAUAAAUGAGAUCAUUGAAGUAAAUCAACAAGCCUUGACAUGUUCUUGACAGUUAACUUGUGAAUAUAAUGUCAAUAUAGCAACUGUAAUGACUAUACCAGAAUUUACAUGGACUCAAUAUAGAUACUGUCAUGACUAUACCUGAAUUUUGCUUUAGUUCCAAGCUUUCAUUACUGUCAUCAUAAUACUCCAAGGACUGGAGCUGUAUCAUUAAAGCAACUAAAACUGUGAACGGGGCAACAAAAUAACACAUGAGACUUACAGUUAAUAUAGAAGGCUAUAUAUUACAAUGUUUUUCUGUCUAUUGUAUGCUUGUACUACACCGGCAAUGCUAUACAUAUUAGCUCACAAGCAAGUUAACGUUUAUGAUGUGCUCCAGGUAUUGCCGUUAGGAAGGUACAGUUUAGUGAAGAUAGUCCAACUCAACAUUUUUAGUGGUGCAGCUCUUACUGGAGAAAGUUAAGAUAGGAGAGUCAAUUUAAAUUGGUUUGAACGUUUUGUUUUUUUUGCAAAAAUGUAUUUGUACUAAGCCGCUGGCAAGUUUCCCAAGACGGAUGGAGUAACUAUUAUUGAUGAUUAUGUAAAUAUGAUUCAGUUCAAGUAAACUGAAGAAUGUUUGUAUUUGA